rnacentral:rRNA from 1 species
AUACGUAGGGUGCAAGCGUUAAUCGGAAUUACUGGGCGUAAAGCGCGCGUAGGCGGAUUAGUAAGUCGGAUGUGAAAGCCCUGGGCUUAACCUGGGAAUUGCAUUCGAAACUGCUUGACUAGAGUAUGGUAGAGGGAAGUGGAAUUUCCGGUGUAGCGGUGAAAUGCGUAGAUAUCGGAAGGAACACCAGUGGCGAAGGCGACUUCCUGGGCCAAUACUGACGCUGAGGUGCGAAAGCGUGGGGAGCAAACAGGAGUAGAAACCCCAGUAGUCC